rnacentral:rRNA from 1 species
CACACCGCCCGUCACACCAUGGGAGUCAGUUGCUCCAGAAGUGGCCGUGCCAACCCGCAAGGGAGGCAGGUCCCCAAGGAGUGGCUGGUAACUGGGGUG